UACGAAGGGGGCUAGCGUUGUUCGGAAUCACUGGGCGUAAAGGGCGCGUAGGCGGCCUGGUAAGUAGGGGGUGAAAUCCUGCGGCUCAACCGCAGGGCUGCCUCCUAAACUGUCAGGCUGGAGCACGGUAGAGGCAGAUGGAAUUCCCGGUGUAGCGGUGGAAUGCGUAGAGAUCGGGAAGAACACCAGUGGCGAAGGCGGUCUGCUGGGCCGUUGCUGACGCUGAGGCACGAAAGCGUGGGGAGCAAACAGG
rnacentral:rRNA from 1 species